CAUGGUGAGGACUCCGCCAGAGACGGUUGAGAAAGUGAAGGUCCGCCAUUUUUUCUUCGCUUGCUCACGGAACAUUUUUGGAUCCUGUAAUUGCAAGGCCUUUAUGUGGCAGUGCAAAUGUGGAGCGCAAGACCGGAGUGUCAUCAAGGUCUCAUUUAUUGAAGUAUUACAGAAUGUCAGAACU